UUUUUUUUUUUUUUUUUUUGGUUUUUUGAGACAGGGUUUCUCUCUAUAUCCCUGGCUGUCCUGGAACUCACUUUGUAGACCAGGCUGGCCUUGAACUCAGAAAUCCACCUGCCUCUGCCUCCAAAGUGCUGGGACUAAAGGCGUGCGCCACCACUGCCUGGCUCUUCUCUGCUUUUUCUAACAUGUGGAUGUAGGCAUGUGGAAGUAGCGUGUGCCAUGCAGGGCUACUUGACCACAUACCUCCAGGGUAGCAUUCAGAUAAAAGGGACAUGUUUCCUGUUGUGGAAGUGGCUGCCACUGCCCAUGGCUACACAACAAAGGAUGUCAGAGAAGGGAGAGGGGAGAGCACCCACCAACCUAAACAGAAGUUCUAUUUCUACAAAGAAGGGAGGAUGGGGGGAUAGCUUUUCAACACGUUCUGUAUCCAGGAAGGAGAAGACUGUGUGUGUGUUUUUGGAUAAGGCUGCACUGGGCUCACUUGGCUGUAGAUUCAGACAAGUUUGAGAUAUGUCACUGCAGCUGUUUUCUUCCAGCCCCUGUUUAUCUUGGUAUAGAGAGUGUUCAGUUAGGAUAAUACCACACUCUCAUGUCACAAUUACACAUCUUUGGAUGUGAUGAGCAUACUGCAGAGGUUGGUGAGGCCUGUGGUCACAUUGAUGCCCCCAAUCGACGGAGGUCCCGUGAGCUGGACUCAGCAGCUGUGGCGCACCUGGGUCCAUCCUAUAGCAGACUGUCCCCUAGGCUGCACGGGCUGUGUACUUCACACUCCACGGUCGCUGCUCACGUAGGUGUCCGUGGGAACGUAACCUCAGAGCUACCCAGUGUGGUGACCAAAGACAAGAUAGAAAGAUAGGACAUAUUAAGAGACAUGAGAAAGGAAGACGCUCCUGACCCUGUGGUGUGGUUUUCUUUCCUGUUGACAUAGAGCCAAACAAACAAACAAACAAACAAAAUCAAUGCAAUCUCUGCAACCAAAAUUGUUUUUUUCCAAAGACCCCUCAAAGAAAAAAGUUAAAAACAGCAGCAAAUGAUGUCUUAGAGCCAGAAUGUAUGCAAUCUCCAGGGUUACCAGGUUAUCACUUCUCUCAUGCACAGGACUCGAAAAACACCUUAGGACUGACCUGCAAAGGAAAAGAAAAGUGAAUUUUUCAAAGAAAAAUGAAGCUAUACAUUUUUAAACUGCUAAACCCCACCUUACAUUUUAAACUCGGCUUAAUCGUUAAACCUUGUUAUAAGUUACAUCCUUCGAGACCUGUAACUUGGAAAGCUACUAGAACAUAUAUUAAUUGUUGUGAAGACAUCUAAGAUUGACCCUCUUGCUGGGUGUGGUGGUCCGUGCCUUUUCACCUAAUAGCUCAGGCUACAUAGGAAGACCUUGUCU
rnacentral:lncRNA from 1 species